rnacentral:rRNA from 1 species
AUUGAACGCUGGAAGCAGGCCUAACACAUGCAAGUCGAACGAGUGGCGGACGGGUGAGUAAUGUCUGGGCAACUGCGCGAUGCAGGGGGAUAACUACUGGAAACGGUAGCUAAUAGCCCAUACCAUCUGAUGUCCCCAGUUGGGAUUAGCUGGUGGGGGGGGUAACGGCUCACCUAGGCGACGAACCCUAGCUGGUCUGCGAGGAUGACCAGCCACACUGGACCUGAGACACGGUCCAGACUCCUAAGGGAGUCAGCAGUGGGGAAUAUUGCCCAAUGGGCGCAAGCCUGAUGCAGCCAUGCCGCGUGUAUGAAGAAGGCCUUCGGGUUGUAAAGUACUUUCAGCGAGGAGGCGUUACUCGCAGAAGAAGCACCGGCUAACUCCGUGCCAGCAGCCGCGGUAAUUC